CGGAGCCUGUUUUUCGAGGUCUCUUCAGUUGGUUUCGCCCCCUGGCGGCCACAGUUGGGUUUCUGGUCAGGAUACAGGAAUACAGGUGGCGAGCUGUCCUGGAGAGGACACCAGGGAGACUGGGACCAGGGAGGCCCAAAUGCGCCUGAAAUAGCGAAGGUCACUCUGAUUCCAUCUUCACCAAAAGUUCCCAGGACUUCUUCAAACAUCAGUUCAACAGUGUCUAGGUCUUCAGCUCCCUGCCUUCAAUCCUGCCACUGGGACCUGUUUGAUUUCUCCCUAUGUGAAGAGGAGCCCCAUCUGGCCUUAUUUUGUGGUACUGUAUCUACUACUGUUGCAUUAUCUUAUGCCUCUUCCCUACCCUCUAUC
rnacentral:lncRNA from 1 species